GAUGAACGCUAGCGGCAGGCCUAACACAUGCAAGUCGAGGGGCAGCACAGAAACAGCAAUGUUUUGGUGGCGACCGGCGGACGGGUGCGUAACGCGUAUGCGACCUACCUUUAACAGGGGGAUAACGGAGAGAAAUUUCCACUAAUACCCCAUAACAUCGAUCAAGGCAUCUUGAUUGGUUGAAAACUCCGGUGGUUAAAGAUGGGCAUGCGUUGUAUUAGGUAGUUGGCGAGGUAAUGGCUCACCAAGCCUACGAUACAUAGGGGACUGAGAGGUUAGCCCCCCACACUGGUACUGAGACACGGACCAGACUCCUACGGGAGGCAGCAGUGAGGAAUAUUGGUCAAUGGGGGCAACCCUGAACCAGCCAUGCCGCGUGCAGGAAGACGGCUCUAUGAGUUGUAAACUGCUUUUAAACAGGGAUAAAGCACAGUAUGUAUACUGUGUUGAAGGUACUGUAAGAAUAAGGAUCGGCUAACUCCGUGCCAGCCGCCGCAGUAA
rnacentral:rRNA from 1 species